GACUAACGCUGGCGGUAUGCCUUAGACAUGCAAGUCGAACGAGUUUCCGGGCUUGCUCGGAAAUUAGUGGCGAACGGCUGAGUAACGCGUAGGUGACCUACCCCGUAGUGUGGAAUAACUGCCCGAAAGGGUAGCUAAUACCGCAUGUUGAGCCGACAUCAAUGUCGUCUCCAAAGCAGAAAUGCGCUAUGGGUGGGGCCUGCGUUCGAUUAGCUAGUUGGUGGGGUAAUGGCUCACCAAGGCGACGAUCGAUAGGUGGUCUGAGAGGACGAUCACCCAGACUGGGACUGAGACACGGCCCAGACUCCUACGUGAGGCAGCAGUGGGGAAUAUUGCACAAUGGGCGAAAGCCUGAUGCAGCGACGCCGCGUGAGGGAUGACGGCCUUCGGGUUGUAAACCUCUUUCAGUAGGGAAGAAGCGAAAGUGACGGUACCUGCAGAAGAAGCACCGGCUAACUACGUGCCAGCAGCCGCAGUAA
rnacentral:rRNA from 1 species